rnacentral:ncRNA from 2 species
AUGUCAUCAAGAAAGGUAGAGGGUUCGCGCCCGAUGAAGCCUUAGCAACCGUCCAAAGGUCUAAUUCGCGAAAGUUAAGCAACUUUGGAUUGGUGCUAAUUCGCGCCUGUGCGUCAUUGCAACGGGGAAGAUGAUAG